AACACUUAUUCCAUUUGUCACUUCCCCCGAUUCCUAAUUCUUUGUGUAUGAUGAUGAUUUCAUAUUCUCACAUAUAUCACCUCAUCUCAACCCUAGGAAGUAAAAUGAGGGUGUGAGAGAUGGGAUCCAUUCUUCGUCGUCUCAGGUGUCGGUCCUUUUUGUGCAGUUGUUGUCGUUAUCUUUUUCUCAGUCGAUGGUAUUAAGAAGAACUCAAUGAGAAUAGAGAAGGGCUUUGUGAACAAAAUUAUUGAAAGGAUUGAAUAUAGUCGCUGGUGUUGGUGAAAUACACGAAUAAAGAGACUAGGAUUCUACCACGAGUACUUUUGCCACCAGUAAAGGCCAUUGCAGGAUCUGUUAUCAAAAUUUGCUUACGUCCUCUCUA